GCCUGUCAAAAGGCCUUAGGAAGGAAGCUGGGGCAGACAGCGGUGAAAUCCCCUCUGCUCAGGAGGCCUGCUGGAGACAAAAUGAAACACGAUCCUGUUGGAGCGGCCCCUGGCAAUCGCUCCGAGUGUAUUUACCACCAAAUUAAGUAUGUGCCGAGGGGAUAAUAUUUUUAUCCUGCCGAGGGGGAGAAGGAGCUUGUCUGUGGAUUUUCAUUAAAAUGACACAUCUGUUCAGCAAUUUCA